rnacentral:lncRNA from 1 species
AUUUGUAAGGGAACUGUUGAUUGAAUUGAUCAAAUAAAUGAGUUAUGUAAGCAGAGUUUCUAGGGGGGAAACUGGUACAGUUGUCCAGGGCCAAGAGGACCAAUGCUCCAAAUACAGCAGCUCUAGCUUUUUCGGUCUUCCUCCAAGUUGGCGUAGCAAAAGGACCUCUCGUGCCAGCAGUAUUGUGCAAGAAGAUGCAAGAAUUUCGAGAGCAGGUGGUCAGGGAGAAGAAGAAGAUAGGAAAAAGCUGGUGGAUGAGUCUUUUCAGAAGGUCAUGUUUUUGAAUUGCUGGUCACAGAGCUAGCAUUUUUAGACUUAAUAUUCGAGCAACUACAAUUGUGUCGAAAGGAAUAAAUGUGACUACAGCAAUGAGAUUCAAGACAAUUUCAUUACCAUUGAUGUUUUGCUGCAUUAUUAUUUAUUUAGAUGUUUGGCAACCAAUUCCACUCUAAACUAGUACAUAAUAGCUGCAAAAUACCUUAAAAAGCUCAUGUUUUCAGAGCCAUCUCAAGUUUGCGACACGCCCUGUUUGAUCUCCUCUAUAGUCUAUACGUGAAGCCCACAAAUGAUGUGGCCAAAUUUGCUGUGAUAAGAGUAGUAUUCGCUCAGCGGCCUUUUCUAUUCUAGUCAAUAGAGGCCAAAUUUCCUCAUGCGGUGAAAAUCAUGAGAGAUUACUACUAUUAGUUAGAUUCUGCAGUUAUAAUGUCAGACAGCAGUAUUUCUCAAAUCCCUCCUUGUACUUCUCCUGUCUCCACCUUGACAUGGUUUCUUUGUUGUCACCGGCUCCAAUGAUUAGAUAACAAUGCAAUUGUUUUUUUC